GGGCGUUCGAUCUGCACCGGUGUACAGUCUGUGGUUAUACAUGGCUGGCAAUGUAGUGAAAGAGGUAUGCUCACCUGAGUUCGAACGUCCGCGUCCUCGUCCACGAGAGCCUAUGGCACAAAAGGAUCCCCUUGUGAAGGCAGCCCGGAAUGAUGAGAUGAAGGGUUGUUGCGUUUGAUUUCUGGGGCCUGUGGACCAGAAGCGACUGGUGGCUCGACCCCUCUGUCAACC